rnacentral:rRNA from 1 species
UUGUGUUUUAUUAUAAUUGUUUUUUUUGUUUGUGGCAAAAUAUGUAUUAGGUGGAUUGUAUAUAUGUUUCUUUUUGUUUUUUUUAUUAUUUUUUUUGUGUAUUUAUUUAGAUUUAGUGUAUUAUUAUAUUUUUGGCGUGAGCUUAUGAUUGUAGUUAUAUUUGUUUGGUUUGGUAACUUUAUGUGGUGUCCUUUUUGCUUACGGGGUAACAAUUGUGAUUUUAAGGUUUUUCUUUUUCUCGAAAGGAGUAUGGUCAAUUGGUUUUUUCUUUUAUUUUGUUCAGAAAUUUAAUAUAAAGAACUAAUGGUAAUGAUAUUUUAAUCGAAUCUCUUUAUAACUAGCUUUUUUUUAGGUUAUUUAAUGAGACAUUUAUUUGUUAGAUGUGUGAGUUUAAGGGUCAGCUUUAAAUUUUUUUCUUAUAUUUUGUUAAUGUUUUUUUGUUUUAUUUGUAGAAUUCAAAGUGUUUUUAGUGUUCGGACUUGUUGUAUUUUAUUUUAGUAUUUUUUUUUGUAUUGUUUUAAAUUAGAGUAAUGUGGUUAUUAUGAGUAUACUUUUUGCCUUUCUUUUUUAGGUUGAGAUUUAUUGUGGUAAAUUUUUUUGUGUUUUUUUGUAUGAACUAAUGGAGGGUCAUGGUGUUUACUAAAGACAUUCCUUUAAGAUUCUUAUUUUUUGGUGUAUAUUUUUUUUCUUAUGUUAUUAUAAGAAGAGUUUUUAUUAAUUCUUAAUUAGGAGUAGUAUAUAGAGUUAUUUUGAUUCUCUUAGUUUUCAUUAUAGAUGUAGAAGUUUUUUUAUUAGUGUAAUAGACUAAUGUUUUUUAAGAGGAGGAGAAGACCCUUGGUGAUUUAGUUUAAUAAUAACACUUAAUGUUUAUUAAAAUCUUUUGCUGGGAUAGUAUAGAUUGAUGAUGUAUUAGUUUUUUUUUGUUUGUAAUUUUUUUAUGUUGGCUGGUUGAACUUUAAUUAUUUGUCAGUUAAUCAACCCUAGGGGUAACAGCGCAAUAGAUGAAGCAAGUACUUAUUUAAUCAUUUUUUUACGACCUCGAUGUCGGCUUAAAAGAUAUGUAUGGAGCAGUUUUUAUAUUUUUGUGAUUGUUCAUCAUAUAGUUUUUUACAUGAGCUGGGUUUAGAACGGAGUGAUCUAGUUCGGUUUUUAUCUCUUGUUUGUUUUUCAUUUAGUACGAAAGGAAGUUUGUUUUUUUGUUUUUU